rnacentral:misc_RNA from 1 species
GUACAUCAUGCUAUGUGAGAAUUAGUGAAACUGAUAAACAUAACCUAAAGUUUGGAAAACUUCAAGUGUUUCGUUUGCGCCUGUUUUAUUAAUUGACAGGCAAAAUUUUAAAUUAGUGAAUUAUUAUUACAUCGAUGAUAAAUAGUGGUGUUCUAGAUUUAAAUGGAGUUCCGACAAUUUUUUAAUUUUAAUUUUUAGAGAUAACGAAUUGAUUAUUUUUCAUAAAGGUGAUUUUAUAGCUAAUUUCAGUUUAUAUUUUAAAUGAGCGUUUUAAAAAGCAUCGACAAUUAGUAUAGUGAAGUAUAAGGAAAGUUCUGCGACCUUUUUCUUAUAAUGAAAAGUAUGAUUAUUAUAAUAUAAAACGACAAAAAUAUGUAAUUGUUAUUCAAUAUAGUAUGUCGGUUGCUAUAUUUUUGGUAAAAAAAGUAAUUUUUAAAAUUUUAUGUUUUAAAAUAUCAUUCUUUUCAGCAUAAUAAAUAACAUUUGAUUUGGGCAUUAAAGACAGGAAGCUAAAAUUUAUUAGAAUUUAAAUGAAAACUGAUAGCUUUCAUAAUAAUUUAUGUCAAUCCGCUGUAACUUUAUCAUUAAAUUAUAUCAUGAAUUUCUAAAUGAGUAAUAAUAUAAAUACCUAGAGAUAUUUAUAUCCAAUUUAAUUUGAAC